GAUGAACGCUAGCUACAGGCCUAACACAUGCAAGUCGAGGGGCAGCGGAGGGCGUAGCAAUACGCCUGUCGGCGACCGGCGCACUGGUGAGUAACACGUAUGCGACCUGCCCCCUACAGGGGUAUAACCCGUAGAAAUGCGGACUAAUCCCCCAUAGUCCUGGGUGCUGCAUGGCAUUCGAGGGGAAAGGCCAGCCGGUGAUGGAUGGGGAUGCGUCUGAUUAGCUUGUUGGCGGGGUAACGGCCCACCAAGGCAACGAUCAGUAGGGGUUCUGAGAGGAAGGUCCCCCACAUUGGAACUGAGACACGGUCCAAACUCCUACGGGAGGCAGCAGUGAGGAAUAUUGGUCAAUGGGCGAGAGCCUGAACCAGCCAAGUAGCGUGCAGGACGACGGCCCUAUGGGUUGUAAACUGCUUUAUAAGGGAAUAAAGUGAGUCUCGUGAGUACUUUUGCAUGUACCUUAUGAAUAAGGACCGGCUAAUUCCGUG
rnacentral:rRNA from 1 species